rnacentral:rRNA from 1 species
GACGAACGCUGGCGGCGUGCUUAACACAUGCAAGUCGAACGGAAAGGCCCUGCUUGCAGGGUACUCGAGUGGCGAACGGGUGAGUAACACGUUUGUGAUCUGCCCUGCACUUCGGGAUAAGCCUGGGAAACUGGUUCUAAUACCGGAUAGGAGCCAUUUUUAGUGUGAUGGUUGGAAAGUUUUUUCGGUUUAGGAUGAGCUCGCGGCCUUUCAGCUUGUUGGUGGGGUAAUGGCCUACCAAGGCGGCGACGGGGAGCCGGCCUGAGAGGGUGGACGGCCACAUUGGGACUGAGAUACGGCCCAGACUCCUACGGGAGGCAGAAGUGGGGAAGAGUGAACAAGGGGAGCAAGCCUGAUGCAGAGACGCCGCGGGGGGGAGGACGGCCUUCGGGUUGUAAACGCAUUUCGCUAGGGACGAAGCUUUUUGUGACGGUACCUAGAGAAGAAGCACCGGCUAACUACGUG